AACGAACGCUGGCGGCAUGCCUAACACAUGCAAGUCGAACGAGACCUUCGGGUCUAGUGGCGCACGGGUGCGUAACGCGUGGGAAUCUGCCCCUUGGUUCGGAAUAACUUCGGGAAACUGAAGCUAAUACCGGAUAAUGACGUAAGUCCAAAGAUUUAUCGCCAAGGGAUGAGCCCGCGUAGGAUUAGCUAGUUGGUGGGGUAAAGGCUCACCAAGGCGACGAUCCUUAGCUGGUCUGAGAGGAUGAUCAGCCACACUGGGACUGAGACACAGCCCAGACUCCUACGGGAGGCAGCAGUGGGGGAAUAUUGGACAAUGGGCGAAAGCCUGAUCCAGCAAUGCCGCGUGAGUGAUGAAGGCCUUAGGGUUGUAAAGCUCUUUUACCCGGGAAGAUAAUGACUGUACCGGAGAAUAAGCCCCGGCUAACUCCGUGCCAGCAGCCGCGGUAAU
rnacentral:rRNA from 1 species